GCAGCGCAGGGCAGCACGGAUCGGCUCGGCAUCGCACGGAUUAGUGUGGCACAGCAUGGCCAGGAAAGGCAUGGCACAGCUCGGCUGGCAGGGCAUGGCUGGCACAGCUCGGUGUGGAUCGGCUUGGCUCGCAGGGCUUAGCACGGCGCUGCUGGCACAGCUCAGAAUGGCAUGGCAUGGACACUAUGGCAUGGCGUGGUAUAACUUGGCUGUCACAGCACAGCUCGGCUAUGCACAGCCCAGCACAGCUUGCCAUGGCACCAUGUCCCCGCAGGAUGACCCUUCUGGCACCCCGACUGGGUGCACACCCAGCACACGGUGUGAAGCUGCUGCCAGGUCAGCAGUGUUGCCCAAACCUGACUUGCCAACACAGUUUGCAUGUGUACAUAUUUAUUUUGCACGUAAUGUAAUCACCAGCGUUAAAAUUCCUUUUAUCAGCAGCAGCACUUGGCUUUGGCAAAGUGUUUUCUGCUGUUGCAGGAAUGGGCACGUGGGCACUGAAUGUUUUGUGCCAUCACCUGCUCUUGGGGAGCACCUGCGGUGGGGAACCAACCCCACAGAAUGUGCCAUUUCCUUACACUGCAGCCCACAACACUCAUUGCUUUCAGUGGAUUUCCAUUCUGCUUGGUUUAUACUCCCAGUAUCACUUCAGCCUCCCAUGGACUACAUCUGGAAGAGAGGAGUUGGGGGGUGACCCAGUUCACAUCGCAUGGAGGUGAUGCUGGAGCACAGAACCACCUCUGGUUUCAGGGUCCGCACUGCAGGGAGAAAGACAGAGAGAUGCAAUGAGACACAUCACACACUGGCUGAUGCUUUAUGUUCCAACAGUGCUGCCAUUACUGAACCCAAAGGACCAUUCCUCACAGAGCUGUGUGCUCCAGGCUCUGGGAAGAGGCUCUGCUGGGUCCACCAGCACCAGCAUGGCCAUGGCACGGCCCAACGCUGCUUCUCCUCUGCUAUCAGUCACACUGCCUGCUGGGCUGUCAAUGUCCCCUCUUCUUGGGCUUUCCUUCUUUUCCCUUCGAAGCUGACCUCAAGACUUGAUUCAAUCCAGUCAGUGCUGAUGCAGGAGGAGAGGUUGCUGUUCAAAGGAGCCAUUCAAGUCUGAAAGAAAGAGGGAAAAAAGUCUGUUCUCAAACUAAUUCAAGUUGUGUGCCAACAACAACAGCACAGCAUUAACAAAAGAAAAUAAUGCUCCUAUAACAGGAAGAGCACGAAACAUAGACCAUGGUCAACAUGUUGUAUAGCCCUUGGUGCUUUUAUACUCUUAUUUUUGUUGGGUUUUGUUCCGAUAUCAGUAAGAGCACAAAACAUUGUCCAUGGUCAAUGCAUUGCGUAGCCUUCAGUGCUCUUAUUCCCCAUGUUUGGUCCUUUGGUACUCCUGUACCAGUAAGAGCACAAAGCAUAGACCAUGGCCAAUGUGUUGCAUAGCCUUUGGUGCUCUUAUUCUCUAUUUUUGGUCUCUAGGUUUUCUGUUGUACCAAUAAGAGCAUAAAAUGUACUCCAUGGUUAACACAUUGCAUAGCCCUUGGUGCUUUCAUUCUUUAUUUUUGGUCUUUUGGGUUUUCUCCUGUGCAACAGGAGCAAAAAUGUAGUCCACCACCAAUGUGUUGUGUAGCCCUUGGUGCUCUUCUCUAUUUGUGGUCUAUUGGUUUUCUUCUGUACCAGCCAGAGCAGCAAGCAUAGACCAUGGCCAACAUGUUACAUAGCCCUUGAUGCUCUUCUUCUUCAUCUUUGGUCUUUGGGUUUUCUCCUGUACCAUUAAGAGCACAAAAUGUGGACCAUGGUUGAUGUGUUGCAUCAAUGCUCUUAUUCCCUAUGUUUGGUCCUUUAAUACUCCUGUACCAGUAAGAGCACAAAGCAUACACCGUGGCCAACGUGUUGUGUAGCCCUUGAUGCUCUUAUUCUCUAUUUUGAUCUUUUUUCAGCUCUACCAGUAGAAGCACCAAGAACAGAUAAUGGCCAGUACAAUUGCAUAGCCCUUGGUGCUCUUAUUCUCUAGUUUUGGUCUUUCACUUUUCUCCUGUACCAGCAAGAGCACAGAAUAUAUUCCACAACCAACACAACUGCGUGGCCUUUGGUGCUUUUAUUCCCUAUUUUCAGUCUUCUGGGUUUGCCAGGUCCCAUUGUGGCCCCAGGGAAGCAAUGCCAACAGCCACACUCUACCCAUGGCCCUAUGGCUGCUACCCGGCUCCGUGCUGUGCCGAUCGCUGCAGAACAAAUGCAUAAAAAUGAUCUUAUUUAUUACAGGAGACAUGUUUUAAAACAACUGACAAAACUGCAAGAUGUAAAACGACAAGCGAGCGCUUUUUCUUUUUUUAAACCCCAUAUAGACUUCUGGCAAUGAUAAAAAUAGUGUUUUCCUUUUUAAAGUUGGAAUUAAUCUUUCUUUCGAAAGCAAUCACGGAGCGGGAGAGGCAGGAAGACUCUCAGAUAUUAACUGGUGCUUGCUGGGUGAUGGUUACUGAUGGGAGGGCUGGUGGCCGCUUUCCUCUGCAGAGCGAUUCACAUUAAAGCACGGCGCGAACAUUAAAGGGAAAAGGAUGAAUGGCGCGAAGGGGAGGAGAGUGUCACCCACUUAUCAAAGCUCUGCUGUGCUCGGGGAUGGGCAGCAGAUCAAAACGCACAGCGUGGCUGACACCGGGGCACCGUGACAUCACUUCAGACUUCUUUCCCUUCUUGUCUUCCCAGUGCAGAGCCACGCAGAGCUGCUGUGUCAGCCUGGCUUGACCUGGCGUCUCUUUGCACUGCAGAGGUUGAGCGGUGCCACCUCGUGCCUCAGUUUCCCCAUCUAUGAAAUGAGAAACAAGCAGAGCUCCCAUAGCAUUCAGCAUCACAGCCCAUAGGGGGUGAUGGACCCCUCCCCAUGGGGCCUUCUCUGUGGGUGCGUCCAGUCCUCAGCAUCACCCACACCUCUGCUUUUAGUUCUUUGCCAGUGUCAGUUAAUUAAACUAUGCAAAUUAAAACAACUUAAUUUAUAUAAUAUCAGUGCCGGAGCCUCAAACCAUUUGGUGUAGCUCAUCUGGCACGUACGUUACAUAAAAUGUUUGGAGCGGCUCUAAUAAAAAUGAAAAAGGCUGUAAA